rnacentral:rRNA from 1 species
UUUCUAGCUUGCUAGAAGAUGACGAGUGGCGGACGGGUGAGUAAUGCUUGGGAACUUGCCUUUGCGAGGGGGAUAACAGUUGGAAACGACUGCUAAUACCGCAUAAUGUCUACGGACCAAACGGGGCUUAGGCUCCGGCGCAAAGAGAGGCCCAAGUGAGAUUAGCUAGUUGGUAAGGUAAUGGCUUACCAAGGCAACGAUCUCUAGCUGUUCUGAGAGGAAGAUCAGCCACACUGGAACUGAGACACGGUCCAGACUCCUACGGGAGGCAGCAGUGGGGAAUAUUGCACAAUGGGGGAAACCCUGAUGCAGCCAUGCCGCGUGUGUGAAGAAGGCCUUCGGGUUGUAAAGCACUUUCAGUUGUGAGGAAAAGUUAGUAGUUAAUACCUGCUAGCCGUGACGUUAACAACAGAAGAAGCACCGGCUAACUCCGUGCCAGCAGCCGCGGUAAUACGGAGGGUGCGAGCGUUAAUCGGAAUUACUGGGCGUAAAGCGCACGCAGGCGGUUUGUUAAGCUAGAUGUGAAAGCCCCGGGCUCAACCUGGGAUAGUCAUUUAGAACUGGCAGACUAGAGUCUUGGAGAGGGGAGUGGAAUUCCAGGUGUAGCG